rnacentral:tRNA from 1 species
GAGGGUAGAGCUCAGUGGUAGAUCAUGUGCUUAGCAUGUAUAAGGUCCUGGGUUCAAUCCCCAGUACCUCCA